GUUCUGGGGACUCUGCCCAGGGUCGCGGGGCAGGGACGCUGAGCUUAGCCCGCACUUCUGCUCCCACGCGACCCAGAGGUCGCCUGAGGGCAGGGCCGGGGACCGCGACCUGCCAAGUCGUAGGGAUGGCCUGAGCAGGCUUGGCCGCCCUAGAGCGGGGUGUCGGGUUGCCCACGCAUCCAGAUCAACACUAGCGUGGAGGGAGCAUUCCUGAAGCUCUGACCUGAGCCAGGGCCCGAGUACAUGUUUCCGCCCUCCCACUUACUAGCUUAUGACCUUGGGAAAGUCCGGUUGCUUCACUGGAGCUUGUUUCCUCGGCCAUAAAAUUAAGAGGUUGGGCUAGAGAAUCUCCACAGUCCCAAACAGAUGUGAAAUUCUUUUCCUUUCUAGAACUCUCCCUUCUUUUACCUAGAAAACAAAAACCUCCUUGACACCAGGUACCGAUGCCACGUUUUGUGGGAGAACCACCUCCUCUCUUAAAAUAUAAAGCCUCCCCGGGAGUUCCGCAGAAAUCCGUAAAAAUGUAAUAUGUGGCGCGGUACACAAAUGGAAAGCUGCUCCUAAACAGCGCUCAGAACUUUGUACCUCUUUAUAGUACAGAUCAGACUCCGCUGCAAACCCAGGCAACAUUAGACUCCCCGCUUAACUCCCGGAAGGCAGAGAGCUUGGCUUGUUUAUCCAGCAUCCCUACAGUGGCCCAGCCCUUCUAGCAGGAGGGGUUGGGGGGGUGGUAUAGUGAUAGUCCUUGGUUCAGGGGGUAGAUGCAUGAUCCAGACACCCACAGCCAGCUAAAAGUUAUCAAGCUGAUGCAAUCAGAAUUUUGCUGGGGCUGGGCUUGGUGACUCACGCCUGUAAUCCCGGCACUUUGGGAGGCAGAGGUGGCGGAUCACCUGAGGUCAGGAGUUCGAGACCAGCCUGGCCAACAGGGCGAAACUCCGACACUACUGGCUUGGUCUGCAAAUGGAGAGCUCCCUCAAGAGUGCCCUUUCCAGAGAGAAGCCCUCACCUCUGCCCUGUGUGAUGUCUCAGAAGCCACUACCAGAUAGCCACGGUUUCUGCAGUCAAAGACGUGCUGGAGGGGACAGAGGUGGGCCUCUGGAGCCAGACCCCCUGGGGCUGACUCCUGCUUCCACUUUAGUCGGCCCUUGAACAACAGGGGUUUGGACUGCAUGAGUCUACUUACAUGUGGAUUUUUUUCAACAAAAGUUACACUAAAUUUGCCUGCCUCUCCUGCCUCCCCUUCAACUUCUGCUACCCUUGAAACAACAAGAUCAACCCCUCUUCUUCCUCCACCUCCUCCUCUUCCUCAGCCUACUCAAUAUGGAGACAAGGCUGAAGACCUUUACAAUGAUCCACUUCAACUUAGUUAAGAUUCUGUUAUGAUUUUCUUUUCUUUUUUUUUUUUUUGAGACAGUUUUGCUCUGUCCCCCAGGCUGGAGUGCAGUGAUGCUGUCAUAGCUCACUGCAGCCUUGAACUGCUGGUCUCAAGCAAUCCUCCUGCCCCAGCCUCCAGAGUAGCUCGGAUUUCAGGUGUGCACUGCCUUGCCUGGCUAAUUUUUUUUUUUUUUUGAGACAGAGUCUUGCUCAGUUGUCCAGGCUGGAGUGCAGUGGCGCGAUCUCGGCUCACUGCAAGUUCUGCCUCCUGGGUUCACGCCAUUCUCCUGCCUCAGCCUACCGAGUAGCUGGGACUACAGGUGCCCGCCACCACGCCCGGCUAAUUUUUUUUGUAUUUUCAGUAGAGACAGGGUUGCACCAUGUUAGCCAGGAUGGUCUCGAUCUCCUGACCUUGUGAUCCACUUGCCUCGGCCUCCCAAAGUGCUGGGAUUACAGGCGUGAGCCACCAUGCCUGGCUUGCCUAGCUAAUUUUUAAUUUUUUUGGUAGAGACAGGGUCUCACUAUGUUGCUCAGGCUGGUCUCAAACUCCUGGGCUCAAGCACUCCUCCCACUUCAGCCUCCCGAAGUGCUGGGAUUACAGACGUGAGCCACUGCGCCCGGCCAUGAUUUUCUUAAUAACAUUUUAUUUUCUGUAGCUUACUUUGUUGUAAGAAUACAGUAUAUAGGCUGGGCGCGGUGGCUCAUGCCUGCAAUCCCAGCUCUUUGGGAGGCUGAGACAGGCAGAUCAUGAGGUCUGGAGUUCCAGACCAGCCUGGACAACAUAGUGAAACCCUGUCUGUACUAAAAAUACAAAAAUUAGCCGGGUGUGGUAGCAUGCGCCUGUAGUCUCAGCUACUCGGGAGACUGAGACGGGAGAAUCGCUUGAACCCUGGAGGCAGAGGUUGCAGUGAGCCGAGGCCACACCAUUGCACUCCAGCCUGGGUGACGGAGACUCCGUCUCCAAAAAAAAAAAAAAAAAGUCCGGGCGUGGUGACUUACGACUGUAAUCCCAGCACUUUGGGAGGCCAAGGCAGGUGGAUCAUGAGGUCAGGAGUUCAAGACCAGCCUGGCCAAGAUGGUGACACCUCGUCUCUACUAAAAAUACAAAAAUUAUCUGGGCGUGGUGGUGGGCGCCCAUAAUCCCAGCUACUCAGGAGGUUGAGGCAGGAGAAUUGCUUGAACCUGGGAGGCGGAGGUUGCAAUGAGCCUAGAUCACGCCACCACACUCCAGCCUGGGCGACAGAGUGAGACUCCGUCUAAAAAAAAAAGAAAAAUAUACUAUCUAAUACAUAUAGCAUACAAAAUAUAUGUUCAUGGACUGUUGAUGUUAUCUGUAAGGCUUCCCAUCAACAAUAAGCUAUUAGUGGUUAAGCUUUUGGGGAGUCAAAAAUUAUAUGCAGAUUUUCUACUGCAUGGCGGGGCAGCAUUCCUAAUCCCUGUGGUAUUCAAGGGUUAACUGUAUUUCUUGGUGACCUUGGACAAAUUGUUGAACUUCUCUGUACCGUGGUGUCCGAAGUAAAGUAGUCCAUUCAGGCACAGUGCUAGGACACCACCUGGCCUAUAGCAUGUGCUCGGUCAAAGUUAACUCUACUGUAAUUCCUGCUUGGGUUGUUCUGGGGAUACCUAAUUUCUCCCCACCAGCCACUUCCCCAAGAAUAGUGAGUGUGAGGGUCCUUACAGACAGGGAGAUGAGAGCGUCACUCCUCUUUAUGACCGUCAAAGCUCUGCAGGUGCUCGCCCUUCGGGUCUCUCCAGCCUCACCUGGUACCCCUCUCCCCCUUGCUUGCUUUCUGCAGCCAUGGUGGCCUUUUAUUCCUCAGACCCGUUUUCUUUCCUGUCCCAGGAAGGGCCUUUGCAGGUGCUCUUCCCACAGCCUGAAAGUUCCUCGGGUAGCUGGCUCUUCCUCACCCUCCAGGCCUCCAGGCCUCAGUUCAAAUGCCUCUCCCUGGGAGAGGCUGGUCCUGACCACCACCGCCUCCUGCCUAAACACAGCAGAUUCUCUCUCCCCUCUAGAAUCCAAACACCAGGGGAGCAAGAGUAGAGUUGGUUUCAUUCACCCCGGGCUCUCCAAGCAUAGCAAACGCUCUGGAAGCACGUGAUGAGUGGCUGGGUGACGAAGAGCUACGACCCGAGACAUGGUACCCACAUGGGUACCCACCCUAUGGGUAGACACGAGCCUGGUGUCAGGAGGAACUGGGUUUGAAUCCUUCAACAACUGUGUGGCCUUUCCUCUCUCUGAGCGUCGAUGUCCUUAUUCGUAGAGUGGAUGAUCAUACCUUCCUUGCAGAGCCAUUGCACAGAUAGUGACAUAGGCACACACAAUACAGUCCUGGCUCACGCUCAGGAGACAGUGGCUGUCAAGUCAGGAGCCCGUCCUGCAGCAGCCUAGCCAUCUGGAAGGAUCACUCCUCGACAUGCCGUCAAUGCCUGGCACUUGGUAAGAAUGAGUUUCUCACAUUUCUCUGAAGGGAUGGGGUGGGGGGCAGGUAGAGAAGAAGGCUCUGGGCACCUAGGGUGGGAAGGAAGAAGAGAGAGACUGGCCCUGAGGGUAGCCAGUGCCUCUUUGUUCAUUUUCUCACCAGAAUAACAGGGGAAAUAUACCAUUUAGAAAGAGGCAGUGAGGAUUAAAUGAGCUAGCAUAUCCAGCACAUAGAAGGCCCUCUCCCCAUCCUCGUCCCUGAAAGCAAACUCCUCGAUUUCUCAGUUUUGCUCUGGUUCCCAGGCUGUGCAUGGAGGCAAACACAGGGCCCUUCACUCAGGCCAAGCUCAGGAGAGCCCAGGCUGCACCGAGUCCACACUCUCGGCUCAUUUCCCUCAGUCCACCAAGAGGAUGACACCAAGGCCCCCUCCUGUACCCCUGCCUCUGCCCCAGCAAGUCCUACUGAGAUCCUGCCUGUUAUGAAAUGGGGCUGUCCCAUUGGGUGCAGGGCAGAUGGCACCAUGCCUCUAGGAGCCUCAGCAUGUGUUUCCAAGGAGACAGCCGUGUGUGUGUGUGUACACACCAACUUGUACCAUCCAGUUCUUCAAAGGAAGGUGGAAAGAAGGGAAUGAGGGUCAGGUUGCAAAUGGGAUGUAGGUGGAAGACGCACGACGCCAGGCCAUGCUGCUGUUUGCCUUUCACAGAAAAAACCAGCACAGCAUCUCACGGUUUGCAGACACUUUCACAUGGGAUAACUCACUUAAUCUUGGCAACAAGCUCAUGGCACAGAUAUUCUUUUCCGCUUUUUAAAGUCUGGAGAUGGAGAGAGAGGGGGGCAAGUCCCAACCAGUGGGUUGUAGAAUUAGGAUUUGUGGCCUGACUCUGAUCAUAAGCCCCCUGCUCUCUUCCCAGGGCCACACUGCCUUGCCUAGAAAGGAUUCUAGAUCAGGAGUGCCCCUACGUGGGGAUGCCGCCUGCCCAGCCCAAAGCAAAGGCCUUGUUCAGCCUUUGAGGUGUAUGUUCCGGCUUCACAACUCCCUGAAACGGAGGCCUGAGUGACCGGAGAUGGCAAGAAAAUGGGAGGAGGUGUCUCUAAGCAUGGCCAGGGCCCCAUGGGAGAGGGAAGUAUAGGGUAUAAAAUGCUAAUCAUAUGAUUUAGAGACACAGUGUCUUUCCAGAAGCUGGAAGAGAAAGACGUUAAGAGCUGGAGUGAGCAGUCUGGAACAGAAUCAACUCUUGGAAAAGUAUCCUUGGGAGACAGGUUGGGAGUGAAGACAGGAAGAGUGGUUUUCAGGAUUUAGGGCCCAGGGACAUAGAGGGGAAACUGAGUCAGGGCUUGGCUACAGACCCACCCUUUUGCUGGAAAUGGAUUUCUCUGCCAAAAGAGAAAUUGUUUGAACUCAUGGCCUAGAGUGAAGGCCACCAAGAAGCCAUUGUCGUUGGAAGCCAAGGGAGUCUGGGAGCUGGUCAGCUCUGGUGGAGAAAGUCUGUUUAUCCAGGGACAGGAAAGAGGCAAGGUCUACACGGGCUGGGCUGGGAGGCCCAGGGGCAGCACGAGGGAGAGGGACCCCAAGUCUGGGUUUCAAGGGGCAUCAAUGAACUAGAAAACGGAAUGAGGCUGGGUGCAGUGGCUCACGCCUGUAAUCCCAGCACUUUGGGAGGCUGAGGCAGCUGGAUCACUGGAGGUCAGGAGUUUGAGACCAGCCUGGCCAACAUGGUGAAACCUGUCUCUACUAAAAAUACAAAAAUUAGCCGGGCGUGGUGGCGGGUGCCUGUAAUCCUAGCUACUCAGGAGACUGAGGCAGGAGAAUUGCUUGAACACGGGAGGUGGAGGUUACAGUGAGCUGACGUUGCACCACUGCACUCCAGCCUGGGCAACAGAGUGAGACACUGGCUCAAAAAAAAAAAAAAAAAAUGCCAGGCGCAGUGGUUUACACCUGUAAUCCCAGCACUUCGGGAGGCUGAGGCGGGCGGAUCAUGAGGUCAAGAGAUAAAGACCAUCUUGGCCAACAUGGUGAAACCCCAUCUGUACUAAAAAUACAAAAAUUAGCCUGGCGUGGUGGCGGGCGCCUGUAGUCCCAGCUACUCGGGUAGCUGAGGCAGGAGAAUUGCUUGAACCCAGGAGGCAGAGGUUGCAGUGAGCCGAGAUAGCACCACUGCACUCCAGCCUGGCGAUAGAGCAAGACUCUUAUCUCAAAAAAAAAAAAGGGGGAAAGAGAAAAUAAAAGAAAGUGGAGUGAGAGGCUGCACGGAGCGGAGAGCAUGGGGAGAGCACACCUGGAGUUUCUCACACUCCGCAGACUUUCCUGUACACUUCCCUCCCACUGGAGGUGAGAUACGCUCUGCACAUGACCUAAAUGUGUGCCGAAGCACAGCCAUUGGGCAGGAGAAAGAAGAGAAAAUGGGGAGUUUGUAAACAGUCAUCCAAAGAGAUAACUGCCCCCUUCCACUGGACGGGAGCAGCAGGAAGUCCACCAAAGCAAGGGCACGCGGACCUGAGGGCAUCCCUGUUUUCUGGAGCACCUGGCCUCUGUUGUCUUUCUCCAAUUCACACCCAGAGUCAGAGCAGUGGCAGAUGGAAGAGAAGCCACUUCAACAACUACUUAAGUACAUGGUCCCUGAUGGCAAGUAAUUCUGUAAUCAUUCUGUGUGGUGGCUAUACCCUCUUUUCAACAAGGUCUAUUGCUUUUCAGGUAGACGUUUCUGUUUAUAAAUGGUCUGGAGAUUCGGGCAGCUUUGGGAAACUGAUUGCAGAUUAGGGGGCAGUAAUGUGCUGCAGUCAUUGUGAGUCCUGUGGCUCUUCAGCCCUCUUCCCCUCAUUUUAUCUAGCAGUUGGCUGCUGGCAUCUGUCGGUCCUGUGGGACCUCAUGCUUCUCACUCUCAGUGAGAUGCCACAUGAAGUGACAGGAGGUGACCCAAGACUGGCCCACACCCCUUGGACCUGCCCAGCCAUGCUGGACUAACUAAUUCUCGGCCACAGCUUGCCAGUGCUCGGCAAAGCUCUGCCUGAAACCUUGGGCGGUCCCCUAUGUGCCAGGCCCUGACUUUGCUCAUCCACAGUGAGGGAGGGGGACUUUUCGGCUAUUGCAGGGCCCCACAGACCAGCUGGGAGCCAGAGACCGGCAGCUGCUGCCACACUUCAAAGGCCUUGUUAUCCUCAUCUGAGGAGCAGUGCCCCGAGUCGCCCCUGAGAAUCCUCCCUGCCCCACUGGCAGCCUCGCCCUUCAUGUGUGUGCUGGGGGGCAUCCUGGGACACCUUGGGGGAGCCAGGAGGGACUGUACCACCCUUCCUGGGUUCCUGGACCAAGGAGGGGACCCUCUACCUUAGCUUUUGGAAAUGUGUUCAGCUCUGCCCACCCACACAGGCCACUCAGAGAUGCCAAAAAAGUCAGCUGUGGCUUGUUUGUGGGUGUGGACUCCAAAUGGGGGCAGAUCCCUCCGGCUGAGUUGCAGAGGGCUUCGCUGAGGAGGUGGGCUUCUCAUGGUGAGCAACUGGUGUCCCCAGUGCUAGGAGGCCACAGGAGCGCCUUCUGUGACACUCUUCUCAGAGGGUGGCCUGGACUGUCCCACCAUUUGACAGCAUGGAGUGUGGUCGGAGGGGCCUGAGCCCAGAGCUGCGUGCGAGAGCUCCGGAGCCCCUGCCCUAAGCUCCCAGUACGUCCUUCCCCGUUCGGGCAAUGUCUCCCUGGGGCUAGAACCUGCUGACCCUCCUUUCCUGGCUUAGCCCAAGCAAACCCACACCCAGUUCCAGAGGGGUGAAGGGAGGCCGGGGGCUGUGGGAUCUGUCUCCUGGCUCUGGUUUGGGAGUGGGCUGAGAGCGUCCUGUGGAAGGAAGGAGUCCUGCGGGGACAACCAGGGCCACCUGGUGAUGCUAGGUAGCAGGUGCUGGCACAGCAGGAUGAGAGGGAGGCCUGAGAAAGGUCCCCUGAGAGGACACCCCAGGUGCUCAAGUCAGACUCAGGCAGCAAAAGCCAGCUGGGCCCCUCUAAAGGCAAGGAGGAGUUGGAGCCCUGGGGACCUGGGGGUGACCUCUGACUUCUGGGAACAGAAGAGAUUUGGAGAGAGAUUUAUCAGUAUUCUCCGCCAAACUAAUCUGGCCAUGGGGUUCCCAGGCAGGACUUGGGAGACACCUGGUGCUGGCCACCAGGUCUGCCCCUCAGUCCACGCCCUCCUCUCUCCUCCCUCGCGCGUUUUGCCUGUGGUAUCCUAGGAACGCAGGGCUUCGAGCCUUGUGGUCCUGUUACAUAACAGUUUCCAUCCCAUCCAUGAGUUCAGCCCUCCGGCAAGCGGGAGCUGCAGCAGGCGCACCAAGGAAAGCCUCUGCUUCAGACCCAGGCUCCUGCUGCCCAAAUCCACAGUCCCUGCCGCUCCUCUGCCACCCCCAGCGUACAGGGGGAGGGAGCUUCAAAAGCAGUCAGCAUCCAGCCAGAUUCUUUCAAUAGGACCCCCUGUCCUGUCCUGGUCCCACAUGAGCACAGCACCUGUCAGUGGCCACACACUGGCCAUGGCUUCCCCAAAUCCAGCAGGCCUAGGAGAGAGUCCCAGAGCCGGUGUGACACAUGCCUCCUCGAACCCCUCUCCGCACUCUGCACCCUGAGACCAAGGGCGCACCACUGCUGAGACCCUCCCUGGCUUGGAGAUGCCUGUCCUGCCACUGUGCCUGUGGCUGCCCCCUCGCCCCCUCGAGUACCUGGGCAGCCAAUCAAUGCAGGUCACCUGUGCUCCUACCUGUUCUCUUCUCUGGCCAAGGCAGAGAGUGCUCCAGCAGGGACUUGAGGACCUCAGGCAUGUCCAUGGCAGGGGCCACUGAGAACCAGUCGCAGCUCACACAGCCCAGCAGGAGGUGCUUGCUCCAGGGAGUUCAGAGGCAGCUGGAGAGGCAGGGGCCGCCAGCCGCAGGCUAGGGAGGCAGGCGGGGUGGGAGCCUUGAGGCAGCCAAUGGCCAGCACCAGUCCCAGCCCGCCCGUCCACCCCCGGCUCGGCCACCUGCCAGCUCCGGCUGCAGCCAGGCCUUCCCUUCCCGCUGCUUGGCAGGGCGGGCCUGGCCCUGCGCCAGCUGCAGCACGUGGAGCUGUCGCGCCAAUCCUCUGACAGAGAGCCCAGCCUGUUAUCUAACUUUGGAAAGGGAAGUUCUCCCCCAGGCUGGGAGCCAUAACUGGGGCUGCCAGGUGAGAAUGGUAAGCUCCACGCCCACAGCAAGCACGCAUCAGCAUGGAGGUGCCCUGGAGGCCCAGGCACGCAGUGGAAACCAUCCCGGGCUGGGACCUGAGGCUCCAAGAGAAAAGGAGGAUGACAGGCAAGGACAGCACCUCAGGCAGCCGAGCACAAGACACCCUGUGUUGGCAGAUGCAGGGAUGCGGUCGGACAUCAUGCCUUCACCUGUGCGCUUCUGAGCCUCAAGGGCUUGUGGCAUGUUUUGAUGCUGUGUUUAUGCCAUGCACACGUACCCUACAAGGCACGCCAGUGUACAUAUGGCAUGCAUAAUUGGAGCUUUAUACCAUCUGCACAGCCUGAAGCCUGUUCCCCAAAAGGAAGUGAUAAAACCUACCGCCUCAGGUUCUUUGGUCUUCAGGGGAGAGGGGAAAAGGGGCAGGUGCCAGGAGACCAGGCACCACUGAAAGGGGGGCAGCUCUGCCAGCCUGCUUCAGGCUUGUCCUGGAUGAGGAAUCCCUGCUUCCCAGUCAUUGUGGGGACUUAAAGUGCCAAUUGGCUAUUUGCUGUAGUUCCCUCUCAUACCCUCCCACCAGGACGCUGGCCCCUGUGGUCCUUGGGUUACUUGAAUGGGUGAAGCAAAGGUUCUGGAUGUCAACCUCUACGUCAGACCAACAUCACGUCAAAGCCAGACUUGCCGGGGGAUGCCAGGUUCUCGAUUCUGCCGUACAUUGCUGUGGGAUCUUGAGCAAGCGUGGCAGCAACUCUGGGUCUCAGUUCCCGAACCACCGAAUGCAGUGACCUCUAAGGUGCCGUUCAGCUCUAGUUCUAUGGCUCUGAAGCUCCAGAUGGGCUGCAAUAAACAUUUGGUUUUCUGCGUGGUAGCUGAUUUUUUUUUUUUUUUUUGAAACAGGGUCUUUGUUGCUCAGGCUGAAGUGCAGUGGUGGGAUCACGGCUCACUGCCUCAUCCUUACAAGUAGCUGGGACCAUAGGUGCAUGCCGCCACACUGGACUUUUUUUUUAUAAAGACACUGUUGCCCAAGCUGGUCUCAAGUCCUGUGUUCAAGCCAUCCCCCGGUCUUGGCCUCCCCAAAGUCUUGGGAUUAUGGGUGUGAACACUGCCC
rnacentral:lncRNA from 1 species